UAUUUGCAAUACUGUCUACUUUACUAGAUUAGCUAUUUUCAGCGUCCUAGUUCCUUUUAAUAACUAUUAAUAAUUUGUAGAAAUCAUUUGUAAAGUGGCUGUUAUGCUCUUAAAAAAGCGGGCGCGCCAUUUCAAAUGAUGAACUGAGAGAGCGAGAGCGCGCUCAGUGUUGCCAGAUUGGGCGGUUUUGAAUUUGAUCGUGUACUUGCAACGCUUACAACGGCUGUGAUCUCCCAAGGACACGACAUCCUCGCCCCGCUCCUCAACUUCAAAACAGACUACCAGUUUGUGAGCUGAUAUGCAGUGGAAAUUGACAUCCAGAAGGAAGUCAUAAAAAAAAAAACACCAGCUGAUACAAGUGAAACAAAUGCUGCAGAGGG